rnacentral:rRNA from 1 species
AGAGUUUGAUUAUGGCUCAGAUUGAACGCUGGCGGCAGGCCUAACACAUGCAAGUCGAACGGUAACAGGAAACAGCUUGCUGUUUCGCUGACGAGUGGCGGACGGGUGAGUAAUGUCUGGGAAACUGCCUGAUGGAGGGGGAUAACUACUGGAAACGGUAGCUAAUACCGCAUAACGUCGCAAGACCAAAGAGGGGGACCCUCGGGCCUCCUGCCAUCGGAUGUGCCCAGAUGGGAUUAGCUUGUUGGUGGGGUAACGGCUCACCAAGGCGACGAUCCCUAGCUGGUCUGAGAGGAUGACCAGCCACACUGGAACUGGGACACGGUCCAGACUCCUACGGGAGGCAGCAGUGGGGAAUAUUGCACAAUGGGCGCAAGCCUGAUGCAGCCAUGCCGCGUGUAUGAAGAAGGCCUUCGGGUUGUAAAGUACUUUCAGCAGGGAGGAAGGGAGUAGAGUUAAUACCUUUGCUCAUUGACGUUACCCGCAGAAGAAGCACCGGCUAACUCCGUGCCAGCAGCCGCGGUAAUACGGAGGGUGCAAGCGUUAAUCGGAAUUACUGGGCGUAAAGCGCACGCAGGCGGUUUGUUAAGUCAGAUGUGAAAUCCCCGGGCUCAACCUGGGAACUGCAUCUGAUACUGGCAAGCUUGAGUCUCGUAGAGGGGGGUAGAAUUCCAGGUGUAGCGGUGAAAUGCGUAGAGAUCUGGAGGAAUACCGGUGGCGAAGGCGGCCCCCUGGACGAAGACUGACGCUCAGGUGCGAAAGCGUGGGGAGCAAACAGGAUUAGAUAUCCUGGUAGUCCACGCCGUAAACGAUGUCGACUUGGAGGUUGUGCCCUUGAGGCGUGGCUUCCGGAGCUAACGCGUUAAGUCGACCGCCUGGGGGAGUACGGCCGCAAGGUUAAAACUCAAAUGAAUUGACGGGG